UGGGUGGGUGCCAAAACCUCAGGAGUCUGCCAAGUAUUGAAUCCUUGGACUCUAUUGAAGUUCCUAACUUAAAUGAGACUGUCAUUGAAGAACCACCCUCCUCAAUAGAUCAUCUCACUGGUCUGGCAGAGUUAUCUAUGAGAGAAUGCAAAAACUUGAGGAGUCUUCCAACCAGCAUUUGGAGGUUGAAAUCCCUUCAAGAACUCUAUCUGGAUGGUUGUUCAAACCUGGAGGCUCUUCCAGAAAUCAUGGAGGACGUGAAAAAUGUAGAUGAUCUCGGUUUAGCAAAAAUGGCAACAAUAGAGUUGACAUCUUCAAUUCAACAUCUAAGAGUGUUGUAUCUAAGUAGCUGUUCAAAAUUGGAGAGAUUUUACUUUCUCAAAGGCUUGUUCUCUUUAGUAACACUAGACCUGAGUAAUCAGGAUUUGACGAAUGGAGCAAUCCCUAGUGACUUAUGGUGCCUAUCCUCACUGGAAUAUUUAAAUCUAAGCGGAAACAAUAUUUGCCAUAUCCCUGUUGCCAUCACUAACUUUGUAAGUUGAAAAAGCUUAAUAUCAGUCACUGCAAGAUGCUUCAAGAAAUUCCAAAGCUUCCGUCAAGUCUAAAAAUGAUAGAUGCACAUGAUUGCACAGGCUUAGAGACUUUGUCAAGUCCAUCAAGUUUACUCUGGUAUUCACUCCUCCAAUGGUUUCAAUCAACAAGACUUCGGGAUCUCUGCACGCAAAUGAAAGAGGAAUGGGAAUUAAAAUUCCAAGAAGUAGGGGAAUUCCAGGGUAGGUAAUGCCUCAGGAAAUAGGAAACGAAGUUAGAAUAGAGCUUCCUGUGAAUUGGUAUCAAGAUAACGACUUCUUGGGAUUUUCUUGUUUCUGUCUUUAUCAACCAGAGAAGAUUUUAUUUUUAAAUUGUAACUUGAAAUUGGGUGGUGAUUCAUAUGAAGAAGUCGAUUGUGUACGGUUUAUUUCUUCAUGCCAGUGCUGGAGGAUUAAUGGCAGUGUAUCAGAUGAAGUGUGGGUGCUGUAUUACCCUAAGAUUGAUAUUCAGGACAGGUAUCACUCCAAUCAAUUCAGGCACUUUCAGGCUUCCUUUGCUGCUCCCCGAUAUGAUAAAACAGUUUUGAAUGAUAUCAAAAGUUGUGGGGUCCAUCUUAUAUACUCUAAAGAUCAUCAACAGAAUCAUACCCCCUUGAUGGAUUUUCUUGGCACCCAAGAUAAUGAACACAAUCCUAUGCCCAUGUUUUUGGAUCUCCUCGAGAAUUUUGGUCACAACGAAUCAGCAGCCCAAGAUACUAACGAUAUUGUUAAGAGAAUCCUUGACGGUGCAGAACAAAAUCAAGCAGAGGAGCCACACCAUAAAAGAUUGAGAGCACCCAACACUGAUCUCAAGCGUUAAAACUCAGUUCAUUCAAACUGUCACGAAGGUGCAUUGACCCAGUGGAAUUGGAGAACAAGAAGGCCCAUCAAUGAUUCUUGUUUGGAUCCAAGGUCUUAUUCAUGGAAUAACAAUAGCAUCACAUAAGCCCUUCUUUGCAACAACUUCUUUCCCUGUAUUGUUGAUUCCGAUUGCUUCUUUUAAGCGUAGAGGAUUUUGCAUGUUUCAGUCAUUCACGAGCUCUACUAAGAAUGUCUCUGCAUGGUAUCUCUAAUUAAGAACUAAUUGGUAAGUCAUUUUCAUUUCUUUUAUAAGUUCAUAAACAAUGGGAUUAAAAUAGCUUAAACUCUUCAUUUUAUUUUUCUUACUUUA